AUUUUAGACCCAUAUCCCUGAUGAACAUCGAUGUACAAGCCUUCAACUUUAUGAAGAGAAGAGGUCAUUUUCUCUUGAAGAGUGUGAAUAAUGUUGUAUACUCAAACUCUGAGAAACACAGAAUCCAGAAAUUUGUCCUCCCAGACUUUUUUGGAGCAGGGGUAGAGGCAUGCGACCUGGAUAUUCCCAACCAGAAACAUCCUUAGAAAACUUUGAUUCACAAGAGAGAAUUUGAGGAAGUAAUCACCCUCGUGCAAACUAGAUCAGAUGUUGGAACAGAGGCCUGUGGGAGUAGUUGACUUGUCCAAAGACUCAGAACUAGUGACUGAUGAAGUUGGGACUCAAAUCCUACAUUCUACCUCUUAAACCAGGAAACUUCCCUCUACACCCCACUGUUUCUGAAGAGAUUCCUAAAGGAAGAGGAUCAAAUUGAUAGCAGUGGGUCCCUCCUUCUUUCCUCAUAGACAUGCACAUUAUCUACAGACAGAAAAGGAACCCUUUCUCAAAAAUGUUGGACUUCUUGAUUUAAAGAAUUGAAAAAAAAUACACAGGACCUCCCAUGUUGAACACAUUAUUCAGUAGGUUUUAGAAACAUGUGCUGAUGGAACAGGUGCUAUAGACUGAAUGUUUGUCCCCAUAAAAUUCCUAUGUUGAAACCUAACCCCCAGUGUGAUGGAAUUUGGAGGUGGGCUCUUUGGGAGGUGAUUAGGUCGUGAGGGUGGCGCCCUCAAGGAUGGAAUCAAUGCCCUUAUGAAAGAGGCCUCAGAGAGUUCUCUGCAUUUCCCCAUGUAAGAACAUACAGAGAAGAUGGGCAUGCAUGAAGCAGAGAAUGAUUGGCCCUCACCAGAUGCUGAAUCUGCCAGUGCCCUGACCUGGGACUUUCCAGUUUCCAGAACUGUGAGUAAUUAAUUUCUAUUGUUGAUAAGCACCCAACUUACGGUACUUAGUUAUUGUAGCCUGAAUGAACUAAGAAAACAGUUGACAACAGCAUAAUUUUUACACUGAGGGAAUAUAGUUUUAUUUUGCGUUGUUACAAUAUUGAGAAUAUUAUAGUCAUGCAUAGGCUACAGAGUCAUCAGGAGGUAAUUGAAUCUCAGGGAUUAAAAAUAGAUGUACCAAUCUAUUUUCCUUAGCAUAUAAAUAUUACAAGCAUUCUGCAUUUUAGAUCAACUAGAAUUGUCAGGUGAUAAUGACCACACUAGUGUUUCAAUGAUUAAAUGACAUGCCCUUGGUCUAUGGCAUGAAAGGAUUGUUCCACAUUUAUUUUCUAAAUUAAAGUUAAUACCUGAAUAUCAAAAGAAUAACCAAACAAGGAAACAGGAAAGAAUAGUAAUAUAAUUCAGAAACAGGACUUAUCUUCUGAAGGUGCAGUCAUGUUUUUAUAAUUUUAUUUUUCUAUAGAUAGAAUUGCUGUGGAUGUUGGUAUUAACUUUUUGAAUAAUUGAAGAGGUAAUAGAUAAGAAAUGGCUGUAUUCUGCAACAUUAAAAUGAUAUUUUCCUCCACUUUUUUCUUAUCUAGCUAUUCCACUUUAGAAGUUAUUUGAAGUACAGAGGAAGAUGAACCAACAUUAGUAAGUGACCACAAUGAAGGUUAAGAUAGGCAACUUGAAAAAAGAGUGUUUUGUCAGUAAGUUAGGAAUUUGAUUUUAUCUAAGGUAGAACAUUUUUACAAGAGGAAAGACAGAAAAGAUUAUCUUUUAGCAUCAACCUCUCUAACAGUAAGAAUGAGGAAAUACAGAACAAAACCAGUCACAGGGAUGAUACAAGAACCAUCUCCAAAACUCCUAUGUAGAAAUCCAAACAUCUGAGUUUUUGUUCCAAGUCCGUUCAAGUUGAGUUGUGUGACCUUGGAUAAAUCCUUUUCUGUUGUGAUUCUUGGGGUCCAUAUGUGUCAAAUAACUUGGUUGGAAAUAAGGAACUUAAAUUCCUUGAAUCUCUGGCAUUCGAUAGCCUGGCUUUUCAGUCUGGAAACACAAGUGAUGAUGCAGUUUUUGAUAUGUGUUUGUUUUCUUUCCUUUUGUUUUGUGGGAAUUCAUUAUUUCACUGUAGAUCCUUUGAGAAGCACUAUUUUAGGAGAUGGUACCAAUGGACGAAAGUCAUUUUGAGUUUAUGUAAAUUUGUAAUUUUUGUAAUUUGGUCUUUGAUGUACCCAUUAACCUCUCUUACUGGAUUUAAGGGUAAGAUAAUCUUUGAACACCCCCACCGCCUUUUAUCAACGUGUAUUUCAUCGUCAAAGAUAACAAACUUGGUACAAUUGUCUUUUGUGAUGGAUUAUUAGACAUUCCCCUUACCUAGAAAAGGGGGAAAUGAUGGAGUAGAAAUAUGUCGUGCUAGACUAUUAGGCAAAGACGAUGAGUCUUCUAAAUUCCCUUGUGGAGAGAGAGCAACACACUUUCAUAUCCACUUAACAGAUGCUCAAUUGCUCUCCUUUGCACUCUGAUUUUGAUGAGAGCUGUAUAACAUCUCAAUUUAGACUUCCAAUGCGUCAGUUAUUUAACUUUCAAGGCAGAAGUAUGAUGCCCAUCACAGAUGUGUUUUGAGGAUCAGCUCUUAGAGUGCAAGGCUCUAAAAUAUUUUGCAUGAAGAUACUAUUUUUAAGAUUUUACUGCUUAUUGUUUACUCAGCAGGUCGGCACUUUUCUUUCCAUCUUUCUGAUAAGAGGAGAAGAGAUAAAUAAGAGGGAACUGAAAGGGACAAUAGUGCAGAUGAAGGUGAGAAGGCUCAGAGAAAGCAACUAAUGUGCCUGAAGUCACACACAGUUAGUAAAAGGACUGACACUGAGGAUGAGGUGCCCUCAUCCCAGUUGCUGCCCUGUUAACCUUUGGGUAGCUCAAAUCAGUUUGAAGCCUCUACUUGGAAUCCUGUGUCUAGUACUCACAUUGUUCUUUCCUUAGAAAUACGUAGAUCGACAUUGACAAUUGAAAACAUAAUUUCAUCUAUUAGCAAAAUUGGAGAGGUUUGUUUUGAUCCAGGGUCUGAGGUGCACCAUAGAGCUGACAUUACUGCCACACGCUGUAAACAAACAGCAUUGUUAUUGAAAAUGUGCUUUAAAAAUAAUUAUUUCCAUUUAUAAAGCGCUCACUUUAUGCCAGCAUUAUUUUAAUUGCUUUACUUAUUUUAACUUAUUGAAUCCUCAUGUCAACCUUGUGUAAGGUAGUUACUCUUAUUGUCAUCAUCUCUGCUUUGUGAAUGAAAAACCUGCUGCCCACUGAGGAUAAAUCACUUGCCUUAAGGUCACACGGCUAGUAAGUGCUUACACAGAAAAAUUAGAACUGGGUGGUCUGGCUCUGCUGUCUGCACUCCUCCCCACUACAUGCUAUAGUCCAUCAAAAUAAUAAUUGUCUCAUCUCUUUUUUUGUUCUAGAGAACUUUAAAAUACAAAAAAAAAAA